UAGGGAAUCUUCGGCAAUGGACGAAAGUCUGACCGAGCAACGCCGCGUGAGUGAAGAAGGUUUUCGGAUCGUAAAACUCUGUUGUUAGAGAAGAACGUUGCAUAGAGUGGAAAAUUAUGCAAGUGACGGUAUCUAACCAGAAAGGGACGGCUAACUACGUGCCAGCAGCCGCGGUAAUACGUAGGUCCCGAGCGUUGUCCGGAUUUAUUGGGCGUAAAGCGAGCGCAGGUGGUUUAAUAAGUCUGAUGUAAAAGGCAGUGGCUCAACCAUUGUGUGCAUUGGAAACUGUUAGACUUGAGUGCAGUAGAGGAGAGUGGAAUUCCAUGUGUAGCGGUGAAAUGCGUAGAUAUAUGGAGGAACACCGGUGGCGAAAGCGGCUCUCUGGACUGUCACUGACACUGAGGCUCGAAAGCGUGGGUAGCAAACAGGAUUAGAUAGCCCUGGUAGUCC
rnacentral:rRNA from 1 species